CCAGCAGUUCCCGGCAGCGAGCUGGACGAGGACAGCUGAGGGGAAUGUCGGGAGGAGCUGAGCUCCCAGGAGACAGCACGGAGGGAAAGCAUUUGGUGGUGGGGAACCGUGACCUGAGCCACUGGAAACCACGGGCAGGGAGACACAUCCUACUGCCUGCAGUCACGUCCUUUCCAAGGAGAUCAGCAAUUCUUGUUAUUGACUUCCCAUAGGACUUCAGUAAGCACAGAGAUUUUUUCUUCUCAUCCACUGAAAUCGGCUGCAGAAGCAGAAAGAGUCUCUGGACCCCUUGGGAAUGCUUGUUGGUGAUAUAAGCAAAGGCACAGAAUUAUACAGAUGAGGAUGAAAAAAGACAACAGAUUUCCCUGUGGCAUCUUUCUGUGCUUCUGCUGCAACAAUUAAGUUAACGUGUCACAUCUGCUAUACAUCCUAAUGAGGGGAAAUAGGAGGGAUUCUGACCCAAUUCAUCCGAGAGCAAGAGAUCUGAGAUGCUCGUUUCUAUAGCCCUAGAAGCAAAAGCCAUUAUUACAGCUGAGUACUAGUCCAGACUCAGUUGUGAAGAAUUUUGCCAUCAGGAAGACCUCACACGGUCCGACUACAGAUGUUCUCAAAAUAGCAGAUCUUCGUGCAAGUCAUAACUAUGCCACGGUCAUACUAGCUCUGUGUGACCAUACCGACUCCUGCAUCUCGGAGAAAGAACAUCCCACAACCACCUGUUGCUGUCCAGUCCUUUUUAGGGUACUGGACAUGACAAGAAUGGACCAAUAUCCUGUUUGGAAAUGCUACUUUGGAGAACUUUUGCCAGUCAUCCUAACAUCUUAUUUAACAUGAGAAAAGUUAAUUAAAUCAGACAAGUGGAAGAGAAUCUGCAAAUGCAGAAGUUACAAUAAAUAGGUGAUACAGCAAAUAAGAGCUACUAAUUCAAACCCACUCGUUGACAAUGUGAUGCAGAUGUGAAAUAAAGCAGAGCCAAUGCACAGGAGGGACCAGAUGGAAUUCCUGCAUCACAGCACAAAUCGCCAUGGGAAACAUCUGGAAAUUAUCACGAAAAAAACAAACAAAGAGGUCCCCUUAACCUUUAGAGCUGGUUAAUCACAAAUCAUUGAUUGGAAGUACCUGGAGAGUAGAGGUACAGCAGAUAUUGUGAAUGGAACUAAAAGAAGAAAGGCUAUGACAGUAUUUCAUAUCUGCUGUAUUUUGGGUUGGAUAUAAUGUCCUCAAUGGGAGACUGAGCAUUACCAAGAUGACAUUGCGUCUCCAAGGCAUAUGUGAACAAGGCAAAAGAAGGGUGUUUGCCAAGCUUAAUUAAACAUAUCCCAACACAUUAAAACAGAUAAAGCAGACAAGGCAGCAUAGAGAUCAAAAAGGGCUGAACAGUUCAAGUUGGAUACAUGGGUAUCUUUAGUGCCUGUACGUGGUGAACUAAAUCAGCAUAGAUGUGAGCGUGCCUAAAGCACAUGCUAUGAAGGACACACAUUGUCACCUUAUGUCUCUGCUCCUGCCCAGGUACCUUCUGGGGCAGAGUGCUGUGCGGCUGAGGGAUGCCCGUAUACUGAUAAGACGUUCUAGGUCCUCACUCUACAUUUCAGAUCAUGCUCUGAAAGCCAAACAUCUGACGAAUAGGCAACAUCCCACACAACUUGCAUAUGUAUUCAGCCUUCACUGGUCUUGGCCCUACACCAUCUAUGGUUCAGAGAUUUUCUGAAUGGUCCGGGAGCACACACAAAACAUGCUUCUCUUGGUUUCAGUUGCACCCUGUAUUAUUCUGGAAUUCUGGUUGUUUUUAGGGUCUGUCCCUGCCUAGACCAAAGAUACCAAAUGAAUGCAUCCAACCCAAGAUCUUUUACAUGAAGGAAGAAGCAUAGCUUUGAGUAACAACUUUUGAAAAAUGUUGUAAUAACCAAAAUGGGAAAAAUGUAGGUUUCAUUUAUAUGGUCAACUCAAAUAAAACAAAUUAGGUCUCAGUGAGUCCAUUAUUUCUUUACCAAAUUUAUAGUUCCCAUAUGUGAGAUUUGUCAUGAGUAUGGCCAAACAAGCCCUAACCACCCCUGGUUUAACCUGAAUUUAAAUGCUCUUAUGUGCUUAUUUUUAUAGAAAUAAAAUCUCUUUGGGGUUACC